rnacentral:tRNA from 1 species
AGCUCUGUAGUAAAGGCAUUACACGAGAUUGCAAAUCUUGAGACGGAGAUUAGGCUCUCCCGGGGCUU